GCCGGGGCGUCCCCCGCGGGAGCCCGCAGCCACCCGGGACGCGCAUCCAGACGUGGCGCUUCGGACCGGGCACGCUGCGCCCGGGGGCUCGGCGGACCCCGCGUAGCCGCCGCUUCGGAGCUUGUGCGGCGCGGGCUGGCCAGCGGGGCGGCCAGGGCCCGGCCCGCCUCCCCAGCGCCCGCCCGGCUUCUCCCCCUGGCGGUGGGAGCCUCGGCGGCCGCUGGCGACACUAGGCGCACUGAAGCCCGAGCCGAGCCGAGCCCGAGCCGCCGCCGCCGCCGCCGCUGCUGCGCACCGCUCCCGGGCUCCCUCCCAGCGCGCCGGCCGGGGUGUGGGGGGCGGCGGGCCGGAGGGGCGAGGGCGGGCCAGGGGGCGCACACGGGGGUUGGCGCGGAAGACAGGACCCUCAGCCUCGAGGGAGCCCCUAGGUGACCAGGCAAAAUGGCAGUUCCUUCCAGCUGGUCCUCAGAUGGGCACAUCUAUUAGCCUCUGCUCUUGUAAGAAGUUAGCUGCAGAACCCACAUGUGAAUCCUUGUAGGACUCUGGAGAAGAUCAAAUGGGAGCUUAGAUGUGGAAGCUCUUUGGAAACCAAGAAACACUCUGAAAAUGAAAAGGAUACCAACUUCAUCUCUCUUUAAGAAUACAAUAUUAGUUUAAAAGAUUGUUCAACUUAAAGCAAUCUUGUAGAGAUUGUCACCCAUGAUUGAUGCUGGGUGGAAGAGUAAACUGUUCCUGUUUCUCCAUCUUGACAGGAAGCAGAAGUUCUCCUUAGCUGAUUUUUCUUCUUGCCUUAUACUGGGUUCUUUAACACCAGAACAAAAAUAAAUAAAUAAAAGAAUCUUCCAGAAAUUCAUGAAGAGACUUCAGGUCAGGAAAGCCUGAACUUUCUCAUCCAACACCCGUUCAAGUCGGAGGAUGCUGAUUAAUUCAUGAUGGAAAGGUAUCAAUUUCACAGCCCAGACCUCUACAUUCUUGAAAUGCUCUUCUCAUGGGAGACAUUAAAUAAGCUUUGAAUUAACUAAAAAUAUCCAACCCGAGCAGGAUAAAACUGAUCAUCCUGAGGAUAUUGCCCUUGGAGUUAAUUUUUUGAGAGAAAUAAAACAAUAAACAUCAUAAGACACAAACCCCAAGCAACUGAUCUCACUGUUAAAAUCCAACCUGAGAACAAUGGAAUGGGUAAGUAGAAUAUUUAUUUAUUAAAAGGGCAACAUCUCAGAAAUGAAAUUACAAUUUAGUUGGGAUAAAUUGUCUUAUAACUUCAUUUUUUUACAUUAAAGCUAUAAUUGAGGGGUAUUAUAUGCUGUUUAUCACUGCAAUGAAAAUGUAGUCAGAAUGAACUUCUCGAGGCUGUUAAACUGCCUCUUAUUAGCAUUGAAACUAUACUCACAGCCUAUUAUCUUAGGCUAUAUUUUUUGGUAUAAGGGAAUUGCUAUCAAAGUGUACU
rnacentral:lncRNA from 1 species